AGUUUCGUGGUGUAGUUGGUUAUCACGUCAGGCAUACCACCUGAAGAUCUCCGGUUCAAUUCCGGGCGAAACCA